rnacentral:rRNA from 1 species
GUCAAGUGAACAAGAGCAUGUGGUGGAUGCCUUGGCGAUGAUAGGCGAUGAAGGACGUGAUAGCCUGCGAUAAGCCUCGGGGAGCUGGCAAAUGAGCUGUGAUCCGGGGAUUUCCGAAUGGGGAAACCCACCCUUAGGGGUAUCCUGACCUGAAUACAUAGGGUCAGGAGGCGAACCCGGUGAACUGAAACAUCUCAGUAGCCGGAGGAAAGGACAUCAACCGAGACUCCGUUAGU